GAUGAAGAACGUAGCGAAAUGCGAUAGGUAAUGUGAAUUGCAGAAUUCAGUGAAUCAUCGAAUCUUUGAACGCACAUUGCGCCCAUUAGCAUUCUAGUGGGCAUGCCUGUUCGAGCGUCAUUUCAACCCUUAAGCCCUGUUGCUUAGCGUUGGGAGCCUACAGUACUGUAGCUCCCCAAAGUUAGUGGCGGAGUCGGUUUCACACUCUAGUCGUAGUAAUUUUUUCUCGUCUGUAGUUGAGCCGGUCCCCUGCCGUAAAACACCCAAUUUAUCAAGGUUGACCUCGGAUCAGGUAGGAAUACCCGCUGAACUUAAGCAUAUCAAUAAGCGGAGGA
rnacentral:misc_RNA from 1 species